rnacentral:rRNA from 1 species
UACGAAGGGGGCUAGCGUUGCUCGGAAUCACUGGGCGUAAAGCGCACGUAGGCGGAUUGCUAAGUCGAGGGGUGAAAUCCAUGGAGCCGUCAACUCCAGAAUCUGCCCUUGAUACUGGCGGUCUCGAGUCCGGAAGAGGAGAGGUGGAAUUCCUUGGUGUAGCGGUGAAAUGCGCAGAUAUCAGGAAGAACACCCGUGGCGGAAGGCGGCUCUCUGGGACGGUACUGGAACGCUGAGACGGCGAAAGCGUGGGGAGCGAACAGG